rnacentral:rRNA from 1 species
CCAAGAGCUUGACAUUAUACCGAGACAUCCAGAGAUGGGUGCCCCACAAGGUCGGUAUACAGGUGGUGCAUGGUUGUCGUCAGCUCGUGUCGUGAGAUGUUGGGUUAAGUCCCGCANCGAGCGCAACCCUCGUUCUAUGUUGCCAGCGCGUAAUGGCGGGGACUCAUAGGAGACUGCCGGGGUCAACUCGGAGGAAGGUGGGGAUGACGUCAAAUCAUCAUGCCCCUUAUGUCUUGGGCUUCACGCAUGCUACAAUGGCCGGUACAAAGGGCUGCGAUACCGCGAGGUGGAGCGAAUCCCAAAAAACCGGUCUCAGUUCGGAUUGGGGUCUGCAACUCGACCCCAUGAAGUCGGAGUCGCUAGUAAUCGCAGAUCUAGC